UGCAAGUCGAGCGCGGGAAGCAAGCUGAUCCUCUUCGGAGGUGACGCUUGUGGAACGMYCGGCGGACGGGUGAGUAACACGUGGGCAACCUGCCUGUAAGACUGGGAUAACCCCGGGAAACCGGGGCUAAUACCGGAUAAUACUUUUCAUCACCUGAUGARAAGUUGAAAGGUGGCUUUUAGCUACCACUUACAGAUGGGCCCGCGGCGCAUUAGCUAGUUGGUGAGGUAACGGCUCACCAAGGCAACGAUGCGUAGCCGACCUGAGAGGGUGAUCGGCCACACUGGGACUGAGACACGGCCCAGACUCCUACGGGAGGCAGCAGUAGGGAAUCUUCCGCAAUGGACGAAAGUCUGACGGAGCAACGCCGCGUGAGUGAUGAAGGUUUUCGGAUCGUAAAGCUCUGUUGUUAGGGAAGAACAAGUGCCGUUCGAAUAGGGCGGCACCUUGACGGUACCUAACCAGAAAGCCCCGGCUAACUACGUGCCAGCAGCCGCGGUAAUACGUAGGGGGCAAGCGUUGUCCGGAAUUAUUGGGCGUAAAGCGCGCGCAGGCGGUCCUUUAAGUCUGAUGUGAAAGCCCACGGCUCAACCGUGGAGGGUCAUUGGAAACUGGAGGACUUGAGUACAGAAGAGGAGAGUGGAAUUCCACGUGUAGCGGUGAAAUGCGUAGAGAUGUGGAGGAACACCAGUGGCGAAGGCGACUCUCUGGUCUGUAACUGACGCUGAGGCGCGAAAGCGUGGGGAGCGAACAGGAUUAGAUACCCUGGUAGUCCACGCCGUAAACGAUGAGUGCUAGGUGUUA
rnacentral:rRNA from 1 species